CUUUCUUUAAGAGUUUAAGUUACUUUAUAGAUACUGGAGAACCUAACUUAAAAUCUACAGUAAAUUCUUCAGGUUUCUAGGGAGAACGUUUACCACACAUGAACAAAUUAAAAGGGGAGAGGGGUAUAAGAAUUGUUCAUAACUAUUGGACUAAACAUGUGGGGGGACUUUAAAAAAUCAGGGUCUACAAACAGAGAAGCAGCAUAUAGGAUCUUAUUGCAAGUCUGGUAUACCAUGAAAGCUUGGGAGCUGGGUAAUAGCCUUUGUGUCUUCACGGUGUAAAACAUAUCUGGCCAUUCCUUAAUACAAAACUAGAUCAUUUUCUCGAGGUAACUGUAUGAUUAAAUAUUUCUUUUGUAUGAUGUGUAGCUGAUUGUGCGGAAGAACAGGGCUUGUGAAUACAUUUAAAUAUUUGAUGCAUCAUCUCAUAUCAACCAUUUGUCGAUGGAGAAAUGUUGAUAUAACUGUAUAUGAUGAAUAGGAAUGAGACAUGUCAUAUAAGAUUAUACCCCAGCGAUUAACUGAUCUGCCAUGUUAGUCCACUUAUUAUGAUCUUAAAUUUUGAAUUUUGACCUGACACCUUCCUAAAAUAUCUUUGUACAACCUACUGGAGUCCAUGUUUUUAUUUAAUACAAUGGGGAUCAUAGUUCACUUAUUCACGGGGCUUGAUCCUUAGAACUUCUGUAUUAGUAAGAACGUCUUGUAUUAUCUUCUUUUAUUAUUUCUGAGUUCCGAUAUAAGUUUUUGGCAGACCAAAACAAUUCACAUACAUUGGAAAUUUAUGAAGAUAAGAAUGGAAAGUAUAAGCUAUAUGUACAGAACAUCCAUUUGACAAAAUUUCCAUGCUUGGCGUACCUAUGAACAGAUGGAAUGUAAAACACCUCAAGUGAGCUUCUUGUCUUCUUAAUUAGUCCAGAUCCAGGUGUGAAUCGUUGCUGAGUACCCAGAUUUAAAUGUGUGCCUCCAUUUCAUUCUACUUCGCCCAAUACCUUGACUUUGUUUGAAAACAUGUGGGCAAUUUCUAUUAUUCAUGAAGUUUUUGUCUAACUCUCGACUUUAUGUUUUACCGCAUCUUUCUAGAUGUGGUUCUGCUAUCAGAAAGACCGUACAGGCCUGUUAUUUUGUAUGUUCAAGUGUUGCUCAUGGUUCAGGUAAAACACCAUUUCUCCAUCUUUGUGUCUGCUACCCUUGUUUCUGGUUCAUGGAGACCAUCAAAAUCCCUCCCGCCAUCAUUCUGGAAGCAAUGUUGAAAAAGUUACCCUUUUACUUCCCCAAGGAUGAAAGCCAUGCCAUCGGAGGAAGCUUCUUUCAGAUUGAUGUGAUGUUUUAUUCUUCUGCCUGUUUUUCCCAAUCUUCACUCCAUCCCCACUCGCUGUUCAGCCAUCCAACAUUGUCCUUGGAAAAAGCAGCACCGUCGUCUUCAUCGCCCCUCAGCGAACAUGACUAUGCACACCGACGAGGAGAGGGACAGAGGAGAAGGCCGUUUUCCUCGCCCCUUCGCGCUCGGGUAGCCAGCUUUGCCACCGCGUCUUCAUCGUCGCUGAGGAUGUAGGCCAGCAUCCUCUGAUUCUUCUUCAUCUGGGACCUGCAUCGGUUAGGUACAUCAAAAAUGGCACCAACAUGGCGGUUGCAGAUUUUAACUAUAAUCAUUGGAAGACAUAGAAGACUAGAACAAAUCUCGUAUGCAUCAUCUCAUAGAAUCUGAUGAAACUAAGAAAAUGUUUGGUAGAGAUUGUGGCUUCUUGCUGUCAUACAUAUGUUUUCCUUCUCUAAGAAAAUACAAAUCAUCGUGCUUCUUAACUACUCUCUUAAAAAAGUUCUAUCCAUGAAAUUUGGAAUA